GUCUCGUCUCGUUUCGUUUCGUUUUGUUCUCUUGUCGCUUCGUUCGGUAUUAGAACGAAUGUCGCUGUCGACGUCGCUGCCGCUGCCGCCGGCGCUGGCUGCGCUGCCAGCCAACUGACUUAUUGGCUUUAAGCGUAUUUCAAAUUCACCCGAACUUUUAUUCAACGUGUUGGUUUCGUCGCGUGAGCAACUCUGAAACUGAAAACGAAUCAAACAAACAAGAAAGAAAAAAACACAAGCAAAAAAACAGAAAACAAACUAAAGACAAACAACAACAACAACAACAAAACAAACAUACACUUAAUAACAAUAAAUACAUUUUUUUUGUAUGCCCUACACCUACAGAGAAAACCCGAAAAAAAUUCAACGUACACCCACUCGGAAAGACGUAGGCCCUUAACUGUGUUUACGUCUCUUUUUUUUUCGGUUAAUUUGUUAUAAUUUUUUUUUUUUGGAUCGUCGUCGUUUCCGUCUCGUCGUCGUCGUCGUUGUUGUUGUUGUUGCAGCUUCCACAACCGGAGAUCGUAUUGUAUAUUUUUUUAAAGUGCUUUUCCAACAACGAAGUGUUAGCAAAACCAAAAUAUGCCUUAUAGCGUUACGCUUUAGUGUUAAAAGUGCACACGCCCCCACCCCCUUCAAAGCCUCCCCCUAGAACGCUUAAAGUGGCAAAAACCCAAAGGGCUUAUGCCACCACAUUUGAAAAGUUUAAGCGAACAGGUGUCAGUGUUGGUUAACGUUUUAAUGGACAAUCAACAAAACUGAAAAAUAAACAAAACAAACUGCUUCCAAUUCUUCCGGCUCUUCUCAACCAGCAGCAGCUGCAAACGAAACGCGUUAACAGGUUUCAAACGUUUGUGCAUUUAAUGCAAAAGGCAAGCGUGCGAUUCGUCGUUGUUCGUUGUCGUUCCAUGUCUCGAUGUCGUUAAUGUGGAUGAGCAGUGGAUGUGUCGAGCGUUGUUGCCGGUGGCCAAAAGCAAUUGCCAACAUUAUUCAGUUGAAUUCAACGCUGUGAGCAACACACGACGCUGUUAGCAGCGCCGAUGGAAACCGCGUCGCGACGCAGCGGCAACGGCAGCAGCGGCAGCGACAACAACAACAGCAACAGCAACAAAAUAAAAACAAAUCUUUAUUGUA